rnacentral:rRNA from 1 species
CAUUGAACGCUGGCGGCAUGCCUUACACAUGCAAGUCGAACGGUAACAGCACUUCGGUGGCUGACGAGUGGCGAACGGGUGAGUAAUACAUCGGAACGUGCCCGAGAGUGGGGGAUAACGCAGCGAAAGCUGUGCUAAUACCGCAUACGAUCUACGGAUGAAAGCAGGGGACCGCAAGGCCUUGCGCUCAUGGAGCGGCCGAUGGCAGAUUAGGUAGUUGGUGGGAUAAAAGCUUACCAAGCCGACGAUCUGUAGCUGGUCUGAGAGGACGACCAGCCACACUGGGACUGAGACACGGCCCAGACUCCUACGGGAGGCAGCAGUGGGGAAUUUUGGACAAUGGGCGAAAGCCUGAUCCAGCCAUGCCGCGUGCAGGAUGAAGGCCUUCGGGUUGUAAACUGCUUUUGUACGGAACGAAAAGGUCUUUUCUAAUAAAGAAGGCUCAUGACGGUACCGUAAGAAUAAGCACCGGCUAACUACGUGCCAGCAGCCGCGGUAAUACGUAGGGUGCGAGCGUUAAUCGGAAUUACUGGGCGUAAAGCGUGCGCAGGCGGUUUUGUAAGUCAGAUG